rnacentral:rRNA from 1 species
GUGGUAAUUCUAGAGCUAAUACAUGCUAAAAACCUCGACUUCGGAAGGGGUGUAUUUAUUAGAUAAAAAACCAAUGCCCUUCGGGGCUCCUUGGUGAAUCAUAAUAACUUAACGAAUCGCAUGGCCUUGCGCCGGCGAUGGUUCAUUCAAAUUUCUGCCCUAUCAACUUUCGAUGGUAAGAUAGAGGCUUACCAUGGUCUUAACGGGUAACGGGGAAUUAGGGUUCUAUUCCGGAGAGGGAGCCUGAGAAACGGCUACCACAUCCAAGGAAGGCAGCAGGCGCGCAAAUUACCCAAUCCCGACACGGGGAGGUAGUGACAAUAAAUACUGAUACGGGGCUCUUUUGGGUCUCGUAAUUGGAAUGAGUACAAUCUAAAUCCCUUAACGAGGAACAAUUGGAGGGCAAGUCUGGUGCCAGCAGCCGCGGUAAUUCCAGCUCCAAUAGCGUAUAUUAAAGUUGUUGCCGUUAAAAAGCUCGUAGUUGAACCUUGGGCCUGGCUGACCUGUCCUCCUAAUCGAGCGCACGGGUUCGGUCGGGCCUUUCCUUCUAGGGAACCCCAUGCCCUUCACUGGGUGUGGCGGGGAACUAGGACUUUUACCUUGAAAAAAUUAGAGUGUUCAAAGCAGGCCUUUGCUCGAAUACAUUAGCAUGGAAUAAUAGAAUAGGACAUCGGUUCUAUUUUGUUGGUUUCUAG